UACGGGGGGGGCAAGCGUUGUUCGGAAUUACUGGGCGUAAAGGGUGCGUAGGCGGCUUUCUAAGUUGGAUGUGAAAACUAUGGGCUCAACCCAUAGCCUGCAUCCAAAACUGGAGAGCUUGGGUUCUGGAGGGGAAAGCGGAAUUCCCAGUGUAGCGGUGAAAUGCGUAGAUAUUGGGAGGAACACCAGUGGCGAAGGCGGCUCUCUGGACCAGUACUGACGCUGAGGCACGAAAGCGUGGGGAGCAAACAGG
rnacentral:rRNA from 1 species